GCCGAAGUGGCGAAAUUGGCAGACGCGUACGGCUUAGGACCGUAUGGGGUAACCCUUGGAGGUUCGAGUCCUCUCUUCGGCA
rnacentral:tRNA from 1 species